GACAGAGGGUGCAAGCGUUGCUCGGAAUUACUGGGCGUAAAGCGCGUGUAGGUGGCUUGGCGUGUCAGAUGUGAAAGCCCUGGGCUCAACCCAGGAACUGCACCUGAAACUACCAGUCUUGAGUGGUGGAGAGGGAAGUGGAAUUCCUGGUGUAGAGGUGAAAUUCGUAGAUAUCAGGAGGAACACCAGUGGCGAAGGCGGCUUCCUGGACACUAACUGACGCUGAGACGCGAAAGCGUGGGGAGCAAACAGG
rnacentral:rRNA from 1 species